rnacentral:rRNA from 1 species
AGAGUUUGAUCCUGGCUCAGGAUGAACGCUAGCGGCAGGCUUAAUACAUGCAAGUCGAACGGGAUUUAAGAUAGCAAUAUUUUGAUGAGAGUGGCGCACGGGUGCGUAACACGUAUGCAACCUACCUUUAACUGGUGAAUAGCCCCGGGAAAUCGGGAUUAAUACACCAUAACAUUACGGAAUGGCAUCAUUCUGCAAUUAAAGAUAUUCGGUUAGAGAUGGGCAUGCGGGACAUUAGCUUGUUGGUGAGGUAACGGCUCACCAAGGCAACGAUGUCUAGGGGUCCUGAGAGGGUUUUCCCCCACACUGGUACUGAGACACGGACCAGACUCCUACGGGAGGCAGCAGUAAGGAAUAUUGGUCAAUGGGCGCAAGCCUGAACCAGCCAUGCCGCGUGCAGGAAGACGGCCCUAUGGGUUGUAAACUGCUUUUGUCAGGGAAUAAAUGUAGAUACGUGUAUUUACUUGAAGGUACCUGAAGAAUAAGCAUCGGCUAACUCCGUGCCAGCAGCCGCGGUAAUACGGAGGAUGCAAGCGUUAUCCGGAUUCAUUGGGUUUAAAGGGUGCGCAGGCGGAUUGGUAAGUCAGGGGUGAAAUCCCACAGCUCAACUGUGGAACUGCCUUUGAUACUGUCAGUCUAGAGUAUAGUUGAAGUUGGCGGAAUGUGUCAUGUAGCGGUGAAAUGCUUAGAUAUGACACAGAACACCGAUCGCGAAGGCAGCUAGCUAAGCUAUAACUGACGCUCAUGCACGAAAGCGUGGGGAUCAAACAGGAUUAGAUACCCUGGUAGUCC